rnacentral:misc_RNA from 1 species
UUCGGACCUGGCUACCUU